rnacentral:misc_RNA from 1 species
GGAAGAAGAAAUUGAUGGUGUACAAUUUUUGAUAGUUGCGAGUGAUGGGCUUUGGAAUGUCCUCUCUAACGAGGAGGCCGUGACCAUUGUGCAGGACAUAAAAGAUGCUGAGGCAGCUUCACGUAAGCUUAUUGAAGAAGCUUAUUCAAGGGGGAGUUCAGAUAACAUCACCUGUGUGGUUGUUCGAUUUGAAAGCACAUGAAUGGACCUUUUAAGGUCUGCCUACCUUUCCUUUACUUACAAACAUAAAGAAAAACCAAAAAGACGCGAAACUUUCUCCUCGUUGUUUUGCAACAGACUUGAGCAUUAAAAAUGAUGUUUGUCGUCAAUGCUACUCAGUCUGCAGAUAAAAGAUCCUGAAGUGAGGAUGUAGGCCUUGUAACUAGCUUAUUUUUCCAACUCUUCCAUUCUUCUGUUGAUCAUUAAAUUAUUCGGGUGGUCAUGUCAGUUGAAGUAGUGAUCAUGAGGAUUUCUAUGGAUACUCUCCGCUUAUAGACUUGUAAUGUUGCCUUCAAUUGUUAUGUGAUGAUGAUGAAGUGUAAAUCACACUGGCAUAGUUUCUUCUUCUCUAUUUACAUGCAUCUAUUAUUGUAGGUGUUCUCUAUUUCACUUGGCCUACUUAGAAUUCGUAAUCCAGUAUUUGUUAACGUUGUAUUCUCCUGACUUUGUUACUCAUGGGACUAUAGUGAUU